rnacentral:lncRNA from 1 species
UUAGCUCACCUGGCCCAAAGGGCCAAGUGAGCUUUUCCCAUCACUUUGCGUCCGUCGUCGUUGUUAACUUUUACAAAAAUCUUCUCCUCUGAAACUACUGGGCCAAAUUUAACCAAACUUGGCCACAAUCAUCAUUGGGGUAUCUAGUUUAAAAAUGUGUCCGGUGACCCGGCCAACCAACCAAGAUGGCCGCCAUGGCUAAAAAUAGAACAUAGGGG